UGUUUCGGCUAGGGGGCCAUCCCGGCUUACCAACCCGAUGCAAACUGCGAAUACCGGAGAAUGUUAUCACGGGAGACACACGGCGGGUGCUAACGUCCGUCGUGAAGAGGGAAACAACCCAGACCGCCAGCUAAGGUCCCAAAGUCAUGGUUAAGUGGGAAACGAUGUGGGAAGGCCCAGACAGCCAGGAUGUUGGCUUAGAAGCAGCCAUCAUUUAAAGAAAGCGUAAUAGCUCACUGGUCGAGUCGGCCUGCGCGGAAGAUGUAACGGGGCUAAACCAUGCACCGAAGCUGCGGCAGCGACACUCAGGUGUUGUUGGGUAGGGGAGCGUUCUGUAAGCCUGCGAAGGUGGCCUGUGAGGGUUGCUGGAGGUAUCAGAAGUGCGAAUGCUGACAUAAGUAACGAUAAAGCGGGUGAAAAGCCCGCUCGCCGGAAGACCAAGGGUUCCUGUCCAACGUUAAUCGGGGCAGGGUGAGUCGACCCCUAAGGCGAGGCCGAAAGGCGUAGUCGAUGGGAAACGGGUUAAUAUUCCCGUACUUGGUGUUACUGCGAAGGGGGGACGGAGAAGGCUAUGUUGGCCGGGCGACGGUUGUCCCG
rnacentral:rRNA from 1 species